GACGAACGCUGGCGGCGUGCUUAACACAUGCGAGUCGAACGAAGAGCGACGGAAGCUUGCUUCUAUCAAUCUUAGUGGCGAACGGGUGAGUAACGCGUAAUCAACCUGCCCUUCAGAGGGGGACAACAGUUGGAAACGACUGCUAAUACCGCAUACGAUCUAACCUCGGCAUCGAGGAUAGAUGAAAGGUGGCCUCUACAUGUAAGCUAUCACUGAAGGAGGGGAUUGCGUCUGAUUAGCUAGUUGGAGGGGUAACGGCCCACCAAGGCGAUGAUCAGUAGCCGGCCUUAGAGGAGGAACGGCCACAAUGGGACUGAGACACGGCCCAGACUCCUACGGGAGGCAGCAGUGGGGAAUCUUCCGAAAUGGACGAAAGACUGACGGAGCAACGCCGCGGGAGUGAUGACGGCCUUCGGGUUGUAAAGCUCUGUUAAUCGGGACGAAAGGCCUUCUUGCGAAUAGUGAGAAGGAUUGACGGUACCGGAAUAGAAAGCCACGGCUAACUACGUG
rnacentral:rRNA from 1 species